rnacentral:rRNA from 1 species
GACGAACCGUGCAAACGUUGUUCGGAAUCACUGGGCUUAAAGGGCGCGUAGGCGGGCCAGCCAGUCUGUGGUGAAAGCCUCCAGCUUAACUGGAGAAGUGCCGUGGAUACUGCUGGCCUCGAGGAGGAUAGGGGCAUCUGGAACGGUCGGUGGAGCGGUGAAAUGCGUUGAUAUCGACCGGAACUCCGGUGGCGAAGGCGAGGUGCUGGGUCCUUUCUGACGCUGAUGCGCGAAAGCUAGGGGAGCAAACAGG